CGCGCCGUGGAGAAACGGUUAUCUCGCCUGUCUCAUAAGCAGGAGCAGUAGGUUCAACUCCUACCGGCGCAACAA
rnacentral:tRNA from 1 species